rnacentral:rRNA from 1 species
UACGAAGGGGGCUAGCGUUGCUCGGAAUCACUGGGCGUAAAGGGUGCGUAGGCGGGUCUUUAAGUCAGGGGUGAAAUCCUGGAGCUCAACUCCAGAACUGCCUUUGAUACUGAAGAUCUUGAGUUCGGGAGAGGUGAGUGGGACUGCGAGUGUAGAGGUGAAAUUCGUAGAUAUUCGCAAGGACACCAGUGGCGAAGGCGGCUCACUGGCCCGAUACUGACGCUGAGGCACGAAAGCGUGGGGAGCAAACAGG